rnacentral:rRNA from 1 species
CAGCCGCCACGGUAAUACGUAGGUGGUAAGCGUUGUCCGGAAUUAUUGGGCGUAAAGGGCUCGCAGGCGGUUUCUUAAGUCUGUUGUGAAAGCCCCGGGCUCAACCUGGGAAUGGCAAUGGAUACUGGCGAGCUAGAGUGUGUCAGAGGAUGGUGGAAUUCUCGGUGUAGCGGUGAAAUGCGUAGAUAUCGGAAGGAACACCUGUGGCGAAAGCGGCUCACUGGACAAUAACUGACGCUGAUGCACGAAAGCUAGGGGAACAAACAGGAUUAGAUACCCCUGUAGUCCCUGUCUCUUAUAC